UACCUACGGGACGUAGCAGUGGGGAGUAUUGCACAAUGGGGGAAACCCUGAUGCAGCGACGCCGCGUGGACGAAGAAGUAUUUCGGUAUGUAAAGUCCUAUCAGCAGGGAAGAAGAAAUGACGGUACCUGACUAAGAAGCCCCGGCUAACUACGUGCCAGCAGCCGCGGUAAUACGUAGGGGGCAAGCGUUAUCCGGAUUUACUGGGUGUAAAGGGAGCGCAGGCGGCAGCCCAAGUCUGAUGUGAAAGCC
rnacentral:rRNA from 1 species